rnacentral:snRNA from 1 species
UUACCUUUUAUAUAUUAAAUGGAUUUUUGGAGCUGGGAGAUGGAAUAGGGGUUUGCUCCAUCCACUCCAUACAUCAACCUGGUAUUGCAGUACCUCCAGGAACGGUUCACCCAAA